GUCGGCCAGCAGGACCCGUCGGUACAACACGCCGCUCUGAGCUCCGAGCUCCGAGCCCCGAGGCAGAAUCUAGAUCUUGAGCACUGGGAUCCACAGAACAUCACCUGGCUGCCUAGGCCCAUGCUGGCCAUCACUGAUGUGUCCUUCCGGCUGCUGGCUGCAGUGCUGUUUUGUUACCGUGUGCCCUAUCGCAGGCCUCUGCAAUGCCACUUUGUCCCCUCCUCCUCCUGGCCCUAGGCCUGCGUCUGACUGGGACACUCAACUCCAAUGAUCCCAAUGUCUGUACCUUUUGGGAAAGCUUCACCACGACCACUAAGGAGUCCCACCUGCGCCCCUUCAGCCUGCUCCCAGCUGAGUCCUGCCACAGGCCCUGGGAGGACCCCCACACCUGUGCCCAGCCUACGGUUGUCUACCGGACUGUGUACCGUCAGGUGGUGAAGAUGGACUCCCGCCCACGCCUGCAGUGCUGUAGGGGUUACUACGAGAGCAGAGGGGCCUGUGUCCCACUCUGUGCCCAGGAGUGUGUCCAUGGUCGCUGUGUGGCUCCGAAUCAGUGCCAGUGUGCACCAGGCUGGCGGGGUGGCGACUGCUCCAGCGAGUGUGCCCCGGGAAUGUGGGGACCACAGUGUGACAAGUUCUGCCACUGUGGCAACAACAGUUCCUGUGAUCCCAAGAGUGGGACGUGCUUUUGCCCCUCUGGCCUGCAGCCCCCCAACUGCCUUCAGCCCUGCCCUGCCGGCCACUAUGGUCCUGCCUGCCAGUUUGAUUGCCAGUGCUAUGGGGCAUCCUGUGACCCCCAGGAUGGAGCCUGUUUCUGCCCUCCAGGGAGAGCAGGACCCAGGUGUGUUAUGAGGCCAUAAACAUAUGACCAUAAAUGAGGACAUGAUGGCGUGGAGAGACUGAGAUCUUAGUUCAGCUCUGCUGGGUACCAGCCAAGCAGCUUUGAGCAGCCACCAAUUCCUUUUGAAGGAUUCCCUAGGCCAGCUGCCACUGUCAUAGCAUUAGAAACUGUAAUGUGCCCUGUUCACAGGGCACUGAUGGCUUCUUCUGCCCCAGAACCUAUCCUUGCCAAAAUGGAGGUGUUCCUCAGGGCUCCCAAGGCUCCUGCAGCUGCCCACCGGGCUGGAUGGUAUGAAGGGCAGGAGGCUGCGUGCAUAGGGCUGGGAUUCCCAGGAGAAUUCUGAGGGUGGUUCUCCACAGGAAUGAUGGACACUUAGGAACCUGGAGAGGUCUGAGCGUCUGUGGUCAUGAGAAGGGAAUUAAGUGACUUUCACCCCCUACCCCCAGGGUGUCAUUUGUUCCCUGCCAUGCCCAGAGGGUUUCCAUGGACCCAACUGUACUCAGGAAUGUCGCUGCCACAACGGUGGCCUCUGUGACAGGUUUACUGGGCAGUGCCACUGUGCUCCUGGCUAUAUCGGGGAUCGGUGCCAAGAAGAGUGCCCCGUGGGCCGCUUCGGUCAAGACUGUGCUGAGACCUGUGACUGUGCUCCUGGCGCCCGUUGCUUUCCUGCUAAUGGCGCGUGUCUGUGUGAACAUGGCUUCACAGGCGACCGCUGCACUGAGCGCCUCUGUCCGGAUGGCCGCUAUGGUCUGAGCUGCCAGGAGCCCUGCACCUGCGACCCAGAACACAGUCUCAGCUGCCUCCUGGUCACUACGACUCCCCCAAGAACAGCCAUAUCCCUGGACACUAUGACUUGCCUCCAGUACGGCAUCCUCCAUCCCCUCCAUCCCGGCGCCAGGACCGCUGAAGAGCCGGCAUGGUAUGGGAGCGUGCCUAUGUACCCUGCCAGGAGCAGGGACUGGACCAGCAGGCCACGAACAGAAACACUUGGUGAAGUGAACAGAGACGGACUGUGGCCCUGUGCUUCCACCGAGGGAGACACUAGUUGACAAAGUGUCUAACCCUCUUUUCCCACCCACUGCUCAAGUCCCUGUGGACAUAAGCUGGUGGGCAGAAUGUUGUUGUACAAGUGUGAUUUUAGAUCGAUUUUUUUU
rnacentral:lncRNA from 1 species